GUGGGGAAUAUUGGGCAAUGGGCGAAAGCCUGACCCAGCAACGCCGCGUGAAGGAAGAAGGUUUUCGGAUCGUAAACUUCUAUCCUUGGUGAAGAUAAUGACGGUAGCCAAGAAGGAAGCCCCGGCUAACUACGUGCCAGCAGCCGCGGUAAUACGUAGGGGGCAAGCGUUGUCCGGAAUGAUUGGGCGUAAGGGGCGCGUAGGCGGCCCGGUAAGUCUGAAGUGAAAGUCCUGCUUUUAAGGUGGGAAUUGCUUUGGAUACUGUCGGGCUUGAGUGCAGGAGAGGUAAGCGGAAUUCCCGGUGUAGCGGUGAAAUGCGUAGAGAUCGGGAGGAACACCAGUGGCGAAGGCGGCUUACUGGACUGUAACUGACGCUGAGGCGCGAAAGUGUGGGGAGCAAACAGGAUUAGAAACCCGGGUAGUCC
rnacentral:rRNA from 1 species